GUAAGUGCUUGGCAGGCGUCGUAGGUGAGAGAGGGGUCCCAAGGUGUGUUCGGGUGUAAUGGGUGGAAAGGGUGCGUAGGCGGUCGGGGAAGUCUGCCGUGAAAGCUCCAAGUGCAUCUUGGAAAUGGCGUCGGAUACUAUCCGGCUCGAGGAAUGGAGGGGAGACUGGAAUUCUCGGUGUAGCAGUGAAAUGCGUAGAUAUCGAGAGGAACACCAGUGGCGAAGGCGAGUCUCUGGACAUUUCCUGACGCUGAGGCACGAAAGCCAGGGGAGCAAACGGGAUUAGAUACCCCGGUAGUC
rnacentral:rRNA from 1 species